GUGGGGAAUCUUCCGCAAUGGACGAAAGUCUGACGGAGCGACGCCGCGUGAGUGAUGAAGGCCUUCGGGUCGUAAAGCUCUGUCAUCGGGGACGAACGGCCUCAGCAGGUAAUGGCUGGGGAUUGACGGUACCCGAGAAGGAAGCCACGGCUAACUACGUGCCAGCAGCCGCGGUAAUACGUAGGUGGCAAGCGUUGUCCGGAAUUAUUGGGCGUAAAGCGCGCGCAGGUGGGAUCUUAAGUCCAUUUUGAAAGUUCGGAGCUCAACUCCGUGAUGGGAUGGAAACUGGGAUUCUUGAGUACCGGAGAGGAAAGCGGAAUUCCCCGUGUAGCGGUGAAAUGCGUAGAUAUGGGGAGGAACACCAGUGGCGAAGGCGGCUUUCUGGACGGUGUCUGACACUGAGGCGCGAAAGCCAGGGGAGCGAACGGGAUUAGAUACCCGAGUAGUCC
rnacentral:rRNA from 1 species